rnacentral:rRNA from 1 species
UACGUAGGGGGCAAGCGUUGUCCGGAAUCAUUGGGCGUAAAGAGCGUGUAGGCGGCCCGAUAAGUCCGCUGUGAAAGUCCAGGGCUCAACCCUGGAAUGCCGGUGGAUACUGUCGGGCUCGAAUCCGGAAGAGGUGAGUGGAAUUCCUGGUGUAGCGGUGAAAUGCGCAGAUAUCGGGAGGAACACCAGUGGCGAAGGCGGUUGCCUGGGGCUUUGCUGACGCUGAGGCGCGAAAGCGUGGGGAGCGAUCCGG